ensembl:lncRNA
GGAUAGGAUGCUUGUGAGAGAUGCAAACGGGCAGGCACAGAAGCUCUGCCCCAAGGAUCUGGUGGGCUACAGUUUUUAUCAUCCAAGGGGGUGGGGUUGGAAAAGCCCAUCUCUCCCUUUCUGGGAGUAUAGCUCCUCCUUAGUAUCAGGUAAGGUGUGUAUUCAAAUCCGCAGAAGGGUAAACCUCAGACUCUAGCCCUUGGUCUGAAUAUGAAUGGAGAUCUCAUCCCAUCCCCCACCCAGUGACCUGAGGCAAUUCUCAAGGCUCCACUAAGGAAGCCUUGUUCUGACAGCUUUUUGAGCAAUUUAUUUACUUAUAGUGGUCUCCCAAUGUCCCCUAAGUUUCCCUCAUUAUCCGUGGUCCUUUAUUGAGACUUCUAAAAAAUACCUAUGUCUACCCCAUCCCUAUCACUUUAACCAAUGGACUAUGGCAGAAACAACAGGACAUGAUGCCAAGUUCUGGGCCCAGGCAUUAUGAGAGGGCUGUAUUCUCUUCCCAUCUCAUGGGACCCGCCUGAGGAACUCCAAAGCACCAUUAUAAAACCUGCCACCUUUGGGUGCUGUACGGAAGCCCUCUAAGCCAUAGCCCUAGCCAGGUCCAGCCUGCAGCAGCCCCCACCAACAUGCCAGAUUUCUGAACAAAGAGCUUGGACCUAGAGACACCCAUUUGCCAUUUGAUGACCACCAAGUUAGUUCAGCCCGUGCUACCUGGAGCUGGAAAGUCACCUGGCGAUGCCCUGCCAGAGUCCUUGACCCACAAUGAUCAUAGCAUCUAGCAAAUUGUCCCCAGCAGCCGAGCUCUGAGCACCAACAGCCAUGAUGUCCUCCUCAAACUAUUUUCAGCUCACGUUGGUCUGACCAUGAGGUCCCCCUGCACCACUUUAGACCAGAACAGAGUUCCCCUCAGAGCCCCCAGGGCAGACCCCCCCCCCCAACACCUAGUGUGCCUAGAGCUCUCUCUUGCCUGGGGUCCAGGCUUCUGGGGACAUAGGGAAAUGCACAGGGAGGAAGGGUAUCAGCUGUGGCCAAUGAGCCAAACCUAGGGGCUUUGGUGGGAUACCCAGAGCCUCCCCCUCUCCUCCUCAGAUCCUUAGCAUGAGGCCUGGCCACACGGAAACUCACCCAGUCCGUUAAGAAGAACCAGCCCCCACAGUGGCCACUCCAAAAAGAGUCUCUAAACUCCAAGGCCAUUUGGGGUCAUUUUGGGUGACAUUUUGGGGGUGCCCUUCACACUGUAGGACACUUGGCAGCUUCCUGGCCUCCUACCAGUGGUGACAACAUAUGUAUCUGCAACGUCAUCAAAUCCUACCAGUGGUGACACCAGCUGUGUCACCAGCAUUGUAAAAUGUCCCCCCAGGGGUAAAAUUCCCCCUGGUGAAAACUUCUGCCCUCGAGUGCUUUUACUCACCCAGAAAGAAGCAGUCCCUAACUCAACCAAACCUUGCAACACCAGCAGGCCACAUGUCACACGCUUCAUUCCUUCAGAUGCAGUCUUGGGAAAGCAUCGGCCUUGUUUGGAUCACCCAACUAUUACCCAUGUACCCCUCAUGUGUGGUCCUGGAGGGAGAGGGAUUCCUGCUGACUGCCCUCCCCCAGGGCACAGCCAGAGCCAGGAGGUGACAUACAUUCACCCACUCUAGCCUCUCCCCCCUCUCACCUGAAUCUCAGACCUGGGAAAGGAAUCACCAGAAACCAGUGCCCCAGCCCAGGUGCCAGCAUGCCCAGGCCUCCAAAGACCUUCCACCAGCCCCCAGGCAACCCUGCACCCCCAGGUGUUUCCAGGGUGGUCACCCCAGCAGAGAAGGCUCUCCGACUAGUGCCCUGGGUGCCACUCCUCCUGAGAAGGGGAAAUGCAAAUGGAACCCAUCUCCUGCCAUUUAAAUUUGUAGUGGCAAUAAUAUCCCCCAACUCAACCAGAGCAGAUAAAAGUUAUAAAAUGCAUCCUCCGCUAGGCCACACGCACACACAAAAGAGAAAAAAACCUGACUGUUUGGCAAUUAUUUAACCACUACACCUCUAAAGCCAGUGUUGGCCCAAAGGGCUCCUAAGAGAAGGUACAUUGUGAAGAGAUGGGGGCCCCGGAGACUGCCCUGAAGGUGCCAUUUGGAUGUAGAUGCAAGAAGUCCCAGGUGACCCCUCUGGAAGGUGGGAGGAGCCAGAUAGGAGUGGGCUGGGGAGGGGGCGCUGAGGAAAUCCAAUCUGUCACAAAUCUCAUGAGACUGAGAGAGAAGAGAUGGGGAGAGACAUGGGGCAGGCUGAGAGGAAGGCGGGGAUGGGGGGGGUGAUAUUUAAAAGGAGACUCUUGAUUAUAUUUAAAAGCUGUGGGAAGGACCCCAAAGUGGAACAUGUGGGGUGUCCUAGUGAGAGAAGACACCUUGGAGACGGAAGAGCCUGCAGACACAAGUGGGUGGAUGGAUGGAUAGAUAGAUGGAUGGGUGGGUGGAUGGAUGGAUUGGUGAUGGGUAACUGAAUGGAUGGAUUGAUGGAUGAGUGAUGGGUAGCUGAAUGGAUGGAUGGUAAGUCUAGGUGAGAAGCUGCCCUGUGGGGCACACACAGCCAUCCCCGAACUGGCCUCAGGUCCAAGCUGAUGGCCCCAUCUCCACCCCUCACAUGGGGUAUGUUGGCCCCUGGACCUGUGGGGUGGAAGCCCCCCCAACAGCUGUGAAUGUGCUUUACUUGCCUCUUACUAAUGAACAUGAAAACACAGAAACAUCUUUGCACUCAGUGCUUCUUCAUCUGAAACGCAGCAUCCCAAGCAGAGUAGCCCUUGCCAACUCCAGCUGGAGGAAGGACCCCUCACAGCUUUAGCAUGUGUAAAAUGUGUGACUGAGAAGAGCUGCAGGUGGCAGGCAGCUCAGAGCUAAAAGAAAUGGAUACUGUGUGAUCGGCUCGUACACACAGGGGAUUCAGCAAUUUCUUGUGCCCCAUGCUAAGCAUAACUGUGGGUGUUUGUGGAAGAAACUAAGGGAAUAUGGACCCCCUACUUUGUCCAGAGGGUCAGGGGAAGUGACUCCAAAGCCACAUUCCUAAAGGACCACACAGGUGGCCAGCCAAAGCAGGGGCACUCAACAGGUCAGCACAUUCUAGAUUUGUCCUUGCUGGUAUCCCAGGGAAGGAAAGACAACAGGGCAUUUGUCACAGGUUCCGCCGAAGACAGCUCGGCCCAUCACUGUCACAGAGCUCUGACAGCCACACUGGUUGCUUCCUGCCAAACUCCAGGGCUAUAUGCUCUUAGUCUAUCUAUUUAUAUGAAUUUCCCUUGUCACCAUUCAUGGCAGAGAACCUGAUCCCUGACUCAAGGAUGUUAUUGAAAGAGGAAUUUUGUUAACUGUGGUGUCACAGCCUCACGUGGUACUGUGGUUUUCCACGUACAGGUUCUCUGCACUGAGGUAUAGAAACUUGUGACAUCACACCUUCUGCUUUCAACCAAAGGUGAGUUAACAAAUUCAGAUAUAAGCACAGAGCCAAUUUCAAAAUGCAAAAUUUACUUACAAAGUGAUGCUCACAAUGAUCCAACAUAAACUGUGAAAUCUCAAAUAAAAAUGGUCCCUUGAUCAAUAACCUAAAAUCAUCAAAAGAAUUUUUCAGUUUUGUUUCCAAUAUGAAUUAUGUUCCCCUGAGAUGAAAGUGCAUUUCAUGCAGCAAUUCCAAGGUAUGCAUUUACUGAAAACGCCUCUCCACAUGUAUUUGAAUAUUUAUAUAUUUGUUCACUGAAACAUCGUCCCCAGUUAUUUGAUGUCUUUGCUUUUCAUACAAAACUGAGAUUCACAUGUGUGCGUUUUUAUACUCCAAGGAUACAUUUGAGUAGUUUCCACCGUAAUGAAGACAGCAGAUGGGAUUUUCCCAGUUCAAUAUCCAGGACCCUCCCCUCCCUAUGCACUUUACACAGCCUUAGACGCUCCCCCCAGCCCACAACACACAAAUCUCAGCUCUCUGUGCAGUGGAGAGAAGGAGGGCAGAGGGUUCGUUGCUCCCUUUAUCUGAAACAAACUCCACCCUCAGUCACUACCCUGGCUUCCAUUCUCUCCCACCGGGAGAUGGCCUUGCCCUCAGUGCCCCACCCACCCCCAACCCAGGCAGGUCUGUCUAGAGGUGGGGCCGUGCAUGACACUCUACAAGGAGACAUUUGGCCAUAUCAUGAGCCAUCUGUCAUAGCACCCGAGGCCACACACCACCCAGCGGCACCUCCCUUGCCACGUGGAGACUUGCAUGUUGAGAGAUAGAAUUCAGAAUUUGGGACACCUCAGCCCUCUUUCCAUGGUUUUGCAUCCAUUUUCCAUCUCCCCAGGAGCAGUGCACCUUCCACAGGGAGACAGCGCUGGAAAGGUUGCAUUUCAUCACUUUUGAUUCAGUGUUGGCUGAGAAAGCAGGUUCUUUUCAAAUAGCAGUUGCCUUGCUCCAAGACAGCUUUCCCAGGGCUAAAAGAUAUUUGUUUCUUUCUUUCUUUUUUUUUUUAGGGCUGCACCCACAGCAUAUGGAAUUCCCAGGCUAUGGGUCAAAUUGGAGUUGCAGCCAGCAGGCUACACCACAGCCACAGCAACGUGGGAACGUGGGAUCCAAGCCACAUCUGCAAUCUACACCAUAGCUCACAGCAAUGCCGGAUCCCUAAACUACUGAGCGAGGCCAGGCAUCAAACCCACAUCCUCAUGAAUACUAGUUGGGUUCAUUUCCACUGAGCAACAAAGGGAACUCGUCUUUCUUGCCCAGAAGUAUUAAUACUGUUUUCCUGGUGCCUCCAGGGAGUGGAAACCUGCCCCAGGAGCAAAGCCACCCUCCUCUCCUGACUCCUAACUUCCCUCCACCUUGACCCAGCAUGAGGACAGUCUCAGGUCUCCUAAGAGACAACAGGUGGUUAUUUCUCCCAAGGAGCUCCUUGGAGACACAGACACAACUUUCAGCCCCACAAAGAGCUUAGGGGAGCAUGGGGAAGGACUUGCAAGCUCCCCAGGUCAUGGUGUCAUGAUAGCAAUAAUGACAGACAUUUCUUGAGCGCCCACAGAAUGCCAGGCACUGGAUGCUCUUCUGUGACAGUGAUGAUGCUUCACUCCCUAAAGGUGAGAUGCUGUCCAGAGGAGGAGAGUCACGUCACCAAGAUGCUUCCUGGGGUCCACUCGCAUCUGCCUCACCCAGAGCUCACAGACUCAACUUCCACUCCCUCACCUCGCGGGAGCCCAUGCCCUGCAGAAGACCACAGGAGACACCCUUUAGGCCAAGAUAGCGCCAUGAGGAAGAAGAAGAUGCAUCCUCCCCCCAGCUGUGGUACAAGAGGCAAUGGCAGUGGAGGAGAGCAAGAAGGAAGCCAGGAAGGAAGGACCCUUGGGUCUCCAGAAGCUCAAGACCAGUUCCACAAGGAGCAGGAGACACCCACUGGCCAGAGGCAAGAGGCCCUUAGCACUGCUCUCCGGAUGCCCAUGGAUCCCUGAUCAGCUACUGACAAGAUGGCCUUGUGUGAGGAGAUGGAUUGUAUCUGAAAGCUCCCCGGUGCUGCGGACCAAAGAGAACUGCUACACACACACUUGGGAGCCAGAAGCCCCCAUCCCCCAAAUCCAAGAUACCAGCUCCAAGGUGGGACAAAACUGGCCCUAGAACUCCAGCCCCACUAUCUUGUCCUGAGCAUGUUCUGAAGGUAGAAGACCCCAGAAUGCAGUCUGCUGACUUCCCAGCCACUGCGGAGGUUGUCAGAAUCCUAGCAUUUUUUCUAGGGUGGGAAAGAAGAAAGCAGCAGCUGCCUGCAUCUCCUGGAAACUCUGCCAAGGGCCAGAUGUCACAGCAGACUUCCCAACACCAAGUCAAACCCUCCCCAGGGCGCAAAUCCCGGCUUCCGCCUCAGAGGAGAAUUAUUAACACUGUGUUUUUAAAAGCAGCCACUUGCCUCCAGCCCUAAAAAGCAUCAAAGCAUGGAGCUCAUAGGGUGCCGACCGCUAUCUUGCCAGAUCACGUGAUGGACGGGAACACAAUCAUUGAGGUCAGAACCAGUAUCACAGAGCCCAUAAAAGUGGGUAAUAAACUAUUAAGGACGCCUUUCUCAGAGAGGCAGGUGGUUUUAGUUUUGCUGAACCUGGGGCAGGGCGGGAGGGAACAUCCAGGAAAUGGAUCAUUUGGGGUUGUUUAUGCGAUGAUGCUGGGUAGUAAAUCCAUCUCAGGUGGCUUCUUAUAAACCUUGCAGCGCGAGGGUAAACAGAGAGGACCAGGUGUCCAGACCUUGCGAUGGACAGGGACAUCGCCCUGUUGGCCACCGGCUGGCUGCUGGCUUUUGCUUCCAGCCCCUCUUGAGUGUGCCCUGCCUUUUCCCUGGAGCGGUCGUGCUGAAAGUGGGGUCCUGGACCAGCAACAGGGACAUUACCUGUGAGCCUGUUGGAAAUGCAGAGUCUCAGCCUCUCCUAGACCCAUUGAGUCUGAGUGAAUGGGGACAGUCUAUACUUACAUCCUAAAUAAGCUCUCCAGCCAUUCUGACGCCCCUGAAUGCUUGAGAACCCUGGAUCUCUAGGCUAACUCCGAACAGGGUCCCUGACCCCAGAGUCCUUCCUUUAAUCUAUACUUACAGCGUAUACAAAGAAUUACCGCUCCCAAACCUCAGUGGCUAAGUCAAGCCCUCUCUCUUGUGUUCCGGAGGCCUGUGCAUUGCCUCCUUGAUAAAUUUUCUCAUCCUCAUGAUUUUCAUGGCCCUUCAUUUUUCUUUUUUUCUUUUUUUAAUUGUGGUAAAAUACGCAUAACAAAAUGUACUUUCUGGAGUUCCAUUGCAGUGCAGCGAGUUAAGGAUCUGGUGCUGUCACUGCAGGUCUAGGGUCACUGCUGCAGUUUGGGUUUGACCCUUGGCCCCAGCAAUUUCGGCAUGCCUUGGGCACCUCCAAAAAAAAAAAAAA